rnacentral:rRNA from 1 species
GCGGACGGGUGGAGUAAUGUCUGGGAAACUGCCUGAUGGAGGGGGAGUAACUACUGGAAACGGUAGCUAAUACCGCAUAACGUCGCAAGACCAAAGAGGGGGACCUUCGGGCCUCUUGCCAUCGGAUGUGCCCAGAUGGGAUUAGCUAGUAGGUGGGGUAACGGCUCACCUAGGCGACGAUCCCUAGCUGGUCUGAGAGGAUGACCAGCCACACUGGAACUGAGACACGGUCCAGACUCCUACGGGAGGCAGCAUG